rnacentral:ncRNA from 1 species
AUAACCCACCAGCUUUAGCUUUGAAUGAUUAUGUUGUCCGAAUUGUAGUUUGAAGAAGCGUUCUUAGAGGCGGAUUGGGCUCAACUCCCCCAGAAGGAUGAGCCAGGCGAGAGACCCGUUGUUUCCGAAUCCUGUGUUGCACCAUGAGGUGAUGUCUAUGAGUCGAGUUGUUUGAAAAGUACCCUAAAUCGGACAGUAAGUUCCAUCUAAGUCUAAAUAUGGGCGAGAGACAAAUAGUCAAUAAGUAUGGAAAAG